UUUCCGUAGGUGAACCUGCGGAAGGAUCAUUAUUGGAUUUUGAAACUUCAGGCUGCUGCUGGCUCUCCUCGGAGGGCAUGUGGACGCUUGUUGUCCAUUAUUUCUCCACUGUGCACAAAUUGUAGACCUUUCAGUAGGCCUAUGUUGUUUUUCACAAUCUCUGAAUGUAAUAGAAUGGUUUUGAAUCUUGGGAAAUACAAUACAACUUUCAGCAACGGAUCUCUUGGCUCUC
rnacentral:misc_RNA from 1 species